UUUUUUCAAGGUCAUUUAUAAACAUGUUAAAUAGAAGGGGUCCCAAAACAUAACCCUGAGGGACACCACUUGCCACCUCUGUCCAGCUUGAAAAUUUACCAUUAAAUGCAACUCUCUGUACUCGAUUUUUAAGCCAAUGUUCUACCAAAGAACAAGAAUUUUCAUAGAGACUGAUUUCUUUAAGUUUGAACACUAAUCUAUUGUGUGGAACUGUAUCAAAUACCUUGGCAAAAUCCAGAUAGAUCACAUAUACUGUCAACUUGCUAAUCUAAAUAGCUAUGAAAGGGAUUGCUAUGUGGAAGCUAGUAAAGUUGGAGCUCGAGUAAAGUCACCAGACAUAGCCAGUCGUAGUCUUUUAGGGGUGCAAUAUGUUAAUUAACGGCAUCUAGUGCACUAACAGGUGCUCUGAAGCCAGCAAUACCCCUAUACCAUGGGGCAACGGGGAGGCGGUUAUAUCGCCCCGAGCAUUGGAAGCCAUACUUGUGUCUUAUGGAUACAAGGUAGAGUGGGUCCUAUUGACAUAGAAAACUGAGGUAAACAAAGAUAACGAUAACUUAUGUAAGAUAGAAAACCAUAAGAAAAAAAAUACUAAGCAAACAUGGGAAUUACAGGUGGUGAAUCGAGCUGUGGAGCCUCUCUCAUCUCUGGGCAAAAAGAUAGGUAUACUAUCAACAUUCCAUGAGAGGGCAGCUAGUCCCGGAGUGGCUAUGUUGUGUUAACUUGCUGAGAGAUGUUUUGAUUGCAG